rnacentral:rRNA from 1 species
CCUACGGGAGGCAGCAGUGGGGAAUAUUGGACAAUGGGCGAAAGCCUGAUCCAGCAAUGCCGCGUGAGUGAUGAAGGCCUUCGGGUCGUAAAGCUCUUUUACCAGGGAUGAUAAUGACAGUACCUGGAGAAUAAGCUCCGGCUAACUCCGUGCCAGCAGCCGCGGUAAUACGGAGGGAGCUAGCGUUGUUCGGAAUUACUGGGCGUAAAGAGUACGUAGGCGGUUAUUCAAGUCAGAGGUGAAAGCCCGGGGCUCAACCCCGGAACUGCCUUUGAAACUAGAUAGCUAGAGUCUUGGAGAGGUUAGUGGAAUUCCGAGUGUAGAGGUGAAAUUCGUAGAUAUUCGGAAGAACACCAGUGGCGAAGGCGACUAACUGGACAAGUACUGACGCUGAGGUACGAAAGCGUGGGGAGCAAACAGGAUUAGAUACCCUGGUAGUCCACGCCGUAAACGAUGAUAACUAGUUGUUCGGUCACUUGGUGACUGAGUGACGCAGCUACGCAUUAAGUUAUCCGUCCGUCGGGUAGGUACGGUCGCAGAUAAACUACAAGAAGUAGACGGCGNGAGAGNGCGAGCGACGACGAGGGAGUAGG